AUACAGAGGGUGCGAGCGUUAAUCGGAAUUACUGGGCGUAAAGCGCGCGUAGGCGGCUUAUUAAGUCAGAUGUGAAAUCCCCGGGCUCAACCUGGGAACUGCAUCUGAUACUGGUAAGCUAGAGUUUUGGAGAGGGAAGUAGAAUUUCAGGUGUAGCGGUGAAAUGCAUAGAGAUCUGAAGGAAUACCAGUGGCGGAGGCGACUUCCUGGCCAAAAACUGACGCUGAGGUGCGAAAGCGUGGGUAGCAAACGGGAUUAGAAACCCCAGUAGUCC
rnacentral:rRNA from 1 species